AGCUUGCUCCUGAUUGAUAAACAUUUGAGUGAGUGGCGGACGGGUGAGUAACACGUGGGUAACCUGCCCUAAAGUGGGGGAUAACAUUUGGAAACAGAUGCUAAUACCGCAUAAAACCUAACACCGCAUGGUGUAGGGUUGAAAGAUGGUUUCGGCUAUCACUUUAGGAUGGACCCGCGGUGCAUUAGUUAGUUGGUGAGGUAAAGGCUCACCAAGACCGUGAUGCAUAGCCGACCUGAGAGGGUAAUCGGCCACACUGGGACUGAGACACGGCCCAGACUCCUACGGGAGGCAGCAGUAGGGAAUCUUCCACAAUGGACGAAAGUCUGAUGGAGCAACGCCGCGUGAGUGAAGAAGGUUUUCGGAUCGUAAAACUCUGUUGUUGGAGAAGAAUGUAUCUGAUAGUAACUGAUCAGGUAGUGACGGUAUCCAACCAGAAAGCCACGGCUAACUACGUGCCAGCAGCCGCGGUAAUACGUAGGUGGCAAGCGUUGUCCGGAUUUAUUGGGCGUAAAGCGAGCGCAGGCGGUUUCUUAAGUCUGAUGUGAAAGCCUUCGGCUCAACCGAAGAAGUGCAUCGGAAACUGGGAAACUUGAGUGCAGAAGAGGACAGUGGAACUCCAUGU
rnacentral:rRNA from 1 species